rnacentral:rRNA from 1 species
AGGGCGUACGGCGGAUGCCUUGGCGAUAUCAGCCGAAGAAGGACGCGAUAAGCUGCGAUAAGCUGCGGUGAGGUGCAAGUAACCAGUGACCCGCAGAUUUCCGAAUGGGGAAACCCGGCAGUAGUAGUACUGUCACCUCUCUUUGAGAGGAGGGCACCCGGUGAACUGAAACAUCUAAGUAGCCGGAGGAAGAGGAAUCAAAAGAGAUGCCCCCAGUAGCGGCGAGCGAAGCGGGCAAAGCCCAAACCGGAGCGGGAAACCGCACCGGGGUUGAGGACUACCAACAAGUACCUAGAUGAAGUCGAAUCAGGUGGGAACCUGAGCCAGAGACGGUGAGAGCCCGGUAGACGUAAAGAAGGGUAUGGGGUAGUAUCCAGAGUACCACGGGGCACGAGGAACCUUGUGGGAAGCAGGGGGGACCACCCUCCAAGGCGAAAUACUGAUAUGGACCGAUAGCGCAUAGUACCGUGAGGGAAAGGUGAAAAGAACCCCGGGAGGGGAAUGAAAGAGAACCUGAAACCGUAUGUCUACAAGCAGUCGAAGCACCGUAUGCGUGCGACGGCGUGCCUAUUGAAGAAUGAACCGGCGAGUUAUUUCAUCCGGCGAGGUUAAGCGGAAAACGCGGAGCCGAAGCGAAAGCGAGUCUGAACAGGGCGAUAAGUCGGAUGGAAUAGACCCGAAACCACAGUGAUCUAUCCAUGCCCAGGUUGAAGCACAGGUAAAAAUGUGUGGAGGACCGAACCAGUGAGCGUUGAAAAGCUUUUGGAUGAGGUGUGGAUAGGGGUGAAAUGCCAAUCGAACGUGGAGAUAGCUGGUUCUCCCCGAAAUAGCUUUAGGGCUAGCCUCAUGGCAAGAGUGCAGGCGGUAGAGCACUGAACAGGGUAGGGGCCUAUCCGGCUACCGAACCUAAUCAAACUACGAAUGGCUGUACUUAUCCAUGGGAGUCAGACUGCGAGUGAUAAGACCCGUAUUCAAGAGGGAAACAGCCCAGACCAACAGCUAAGGUCCCCAAUGCCGUACUAAGUGGUAAAGGAUGUGGAGUUUCGAAAACAACCAGGAUGUUGGCUUAGAAGCAGCCACCAUUAAAAGAGUGCGUAAUAGCUCACUGGUCGAGAGACUCUGCGCCGAAGAUGACCGGGGCUAAAGUACGGAACCGAAGCUUUGGCAUGUAUGAAAAUACAUGGGUAGGGGAGCGUUCCUGCAUGGGCGAAGCCUGACCGGAAGGACAGGUGGACAGGCAGGAAGUGAGAAUGCCGGUAUGAGUAGCGAAAAGAAAGGUGAGAAUCCUUUCCACCGAAAGCCUAAGGGUUCCUGGGCAACGAUCGUCGACCCAGGGUAAGUCGGGACCUAAUCCGAGGCGAAGACGCAUAGGAGAUGGACAACAGGUUGAAAUUCCUGUACCGACGUCGUCUGUUUGAGCGAUGGAGUGACACAAGAAGGAAAGUUCGCAUGCGAUUGGAAGAGCAUGUCUAAGCAGGUAGGUUGAAUACCAGGCAAAUCCGGUAUUCUAAAAGCCGAGAAGUGAUAGGGAGCCUGUAGAGAUACAGGUGAAGGAACCGGGACUCAAUUGUCAAGAAAAGCUUCUAGUGAGGACGACGCCGCCCGUACCAAAACCGACACAGGUAGGCAAGAAGAGAAUUCUAAGGUGCGCGGGAAAACCCUCGUUAAGGAACUCGGCAAAAUGUAUCCGUAACUUCGGGAAAAGGAUAGCCGGAGCUUGUGAAAGCCUACACGGCUGGAGCGAGAGCCGGUGGCACAAGAGAGGCCCAGGCGACUGUUUAGCACAAACACAGGUACUUGCGAAAGAGAAAUCUGAAGUAUAAGCGCUGACGCCUGCCCGGUGCUGGAAGGUUAAGGAAAGAGGUCAAGAGCAAUCUGAAGCUUCGAACUGAAGCCCCAGUGAACGGCGGCCGUAACUAUAACGGUCCUAAGGUAGCGAAAUUCCUUGUCGGGUAAGUUCCGACCCGCACGAAAGGCGUAACGAUUUGGGCACUGUCUCAACGAGGGACCCGGUGAAAUUGAAAUACCUGUGAAGAUGCAGGUUACCCGCGACUGGACAGAAAGACCCCAUGGAGCUUUACUGCAGCCUGGCAUUGAUUUUUGGGAAAGGAUGUACAGGAUAGGUGGGAGACUGGGAAAGUGAGACGCAAGUCACACUGGAGUCAAUGUUGGGAUACCACCCUUCCUUUUCUAAGGACCUAACCGAAGGGGUAACGACCCUCGAGACAGUGCCAGGGGGACAGUUUGACUGGGGCGGUCGCCUCCGAAAGAGCAACGGAGGCGUCCCAAGGUUCCCUCAGCGCGGCCGGAAAUCGCGCGAAGAGUAUAAAGGCAGAAGGGAGCUUGACUGCGAGACGGACAGGUCGAGCAGGUGCGAAAGCAGGGCUUAGUGAUCCGGUGGAAAGAAAGUGGAAUUGCCAUCGCUCAACGGAUAAAAGCUACCCUGGGGAUAACAGGCUAAUCUCUCCCAAGAGUCCAUAUCGACGGGGAGGUUUGGCACCUCGAUGUCGGCUCAUCACAUCCUGGGGCUGAAGCAGGUCCCAAGGGUUGGGCUGUUCGCCCAUUAAAGUGGUACGUGAGCUGGGUUCAGAACGUCGUGAGACAGUUCGGUCCAUAUCCAUCGCGGGCGCAAGAAACAUGAAGGGAUCUGCUCUUAGUACGAGAGGACCGGAGUGGACGGACCGACGGUGUACCGGUUAUGGCGCCAGCCGUAGAGCCGGGUAGCUGCGUCCGGAAGGGAUAAACGCUGAAAGCAUCUAAGCGUGAAACCCACCCUGAGAUGAAGUUUCU